UUUUUUAUAGGUUAAUUUUUGUAAACCUUUGUUUUUAUUAAACAAGAAUAUAUUUAUAUAUUAUUUUUUAUAAGAU
rnacentral:tRNA from 1 species